rnacentral:lncRNA from 1 species
AUUCAAAGGUCAAAAAAAAAAAUUUUCAAGAAAGACGGCUCUAGUUUCCAAUUCUUGACCAGCCUUCAAGUUUUACCAAAUCUGAUUCAAACUUGGACUUUCAAAUCUGAACAGCCCUAGUCUUGGUCAGCAUUCAAGCCACCAAAUCUGAUUCAAACUUGGACUUUCAAAUCUGAACAGCCCUAGUCUUGGUCAGCAUUCAAGCCACCAAAUCUGAUUCAAACUUGGACUUCCAAAUCUGAACAACAUCCAAUUCUUGACAGCCUACAAGUUUACCAAAUUUUGUGCAAAAUCUGACUUCCAAAUCUGAC